AAAACAGCCUGCGUUUGUCUUCCAGGUUCUCUCAGCGUCAGAAAGAGGGGGCUGCUGCUGCAGGGAACUGGUGUUGUCCCUGCUCCAGCUGCUGUCCAGGCCCUCCUUCCAGCAAAAGGACUGUCCUCUGUACAUUUGGGAAAAUAAAUUCUUUUGCAUAUAUUGUUAAA